GAGUUUGAUCGUGGUCUCGAGAUUGAACGGCUGGCGGCAUGCCUUACACAUGCAAGUCGAACGGCAGCACGGGAGCUUGCUCCUGGUGGCGAGUGGCGAACGGGUGAGUAAUGCAUCGGAACGUAUCCUGGAGUGGGGGAUAACGUAGCGAAAGUUACGCUAAUACCGCAUAUUCUGUGAGCAGGAAAGCGGGGGACCUUCGGGCCUCGCGCUCUUGGAGCGGCCGAUGUCGGAUUAGCUAGUUGGUGAGGUAAAGGCUCACCAAGGCGACGAUCCGUAGCAGGUCUGAGAGGAUGAUCUGCCACACUGGAACUGAGACACGGUCCAGACUCCUACGGGAGGCAGCAGUGGGAAUUUUGGACAAUGGGGCAACCCUGAUCCAGCCAUGCCGCGUGAGUGAAGAAGGCCUCGG
rnacentral:rRNA from 1 species